UAGAUUUGAUCUUGGGCGCAGCGAGUGCUUAAUUGCCGGUUUGGCUGUCUAUCAAGACAAUCAAGUUGAAUUAUUCCAGUGGUUAUUGUUGCUCGCCGUGCAGUCUGGCGAAAAAUUUUAAUUAAUGCAACUAUAACUAACAAGGAGCAGCAAAAACCCAUUGAAUUUCGCUGUCAAAUUGAUGAACUUUCGCAAACAAUUGGCGGUGGCGCAAGUCUGGCAGCUUGCAGUUUUUGGUCAUUGUUUUUGGUACAAUAUUUACGUUUAAUCAAAUGGAAAAUCCUGUGCGAUAACUGGAAGCUGUAAUAACAAUCCAUCCAGUGAGCCUUGUGCCGGGGAGUACUCGUAAACAUAAUCGCAGUUUCAGUUGUGCGAUUUCCUGCCAUUCGAAUGGAUAGUCUAUUUAUUUUGUGGUUUGCAGUUCUGCGGACUCGCAGUACAUACGUUUAUUAUCAGCUCAUUGAGGUCCACCUCAGUGUACUGGUGUGUGUAUAUGCGUGUGCUUACGUAUCUGAAGUUAGCUGGCUUUCAGUGUAAUUGGUUUUGCGCCAAACUCUAACAGUCCUUCGUCUCGCUUAGAUGUACAUGCCCAGAUCCGCAUGGAAGUCCUGCAGAUACGAUAGCAACUGUGGGGGCGUAGGUCGCUGUUUGGCCUCGCAGUGCCAGCAGCAGUUCAUAACCGUAAAGCUAAGGCAAUAUUUUCCAGGGGCUACUUACAAUUCAUCUGGGCAGUUGACGGGCUGCUCCAGCCGGAAGCCGGCAGCCAAGUAAUUGGUAAGCU